rnacentral:rRNA from 1 species
UACGGAGGGGGCUAGCGUUGUUCGGAAUUACUGGGCGUAAAGCGCGCGUAGGCGGACCUGCAAGUCGGGGGUGAAAGCCCGAGGCUCAACCUCGGAACUGCCUUCGAUACUGCGGGUCUCGAGUCCGGGAGAGGUGAGUGGAAUUCCUAGUGUAGAGGUGAAAUUCGUAGAUAUUAGGAAGAACACCGGUGGCGAAGGCGGCCCACUGGUCCGGUACUGACGCUGAGGUGCGAAAGCGUGGGGAGCAAACAGG